AGGUCACUAUAGAUGGUUCAUUUUCACUCACCUAAUUCAGGUUAAUGGCUUUAAGGCAAACCCCGGAACCUGUAUAAUCAUACUACACCACACUCAUCAAAACACUCUCAUCUCAGAAGCUUGGUGAUUAAACUCCUGUGACAAAUCCAGAUGACCAUCACUAAACUAAGAAGCUACGUGUUUAAGCUAGCACCCCUUGGUGAGCGGAGUGAGUUUUCAAGGUGUUUAUGCUGGUUCCAGAAUAAAACUCAUUACACCCGUCAGAGACUCUCUGCUUCGUUUAAAGGAAAUCAAGGG